rnacentral:misc_RNA from 1 species
AACGCACAUUGCACUCUAUCUCGGUAGAGUAUGCCUGUUUGAGAAUCUAUAGUAUUCUUUUUUUCAAUGUUUUUUCAAUCUAAUUGAUAUAACAUGGGAAAAGAUUUGUAAAAUCUCGGAAACCCUCAAGUUACGAGUUUUAUUAAAUAGAUUGCUCUGUUUUUUUAUAGAAAUGUUUAAAGUUCUCUAUAUAAACUUUGCAGAAAAGUAUUUGAAUGGAACGCAAGUUUCUCCCUAUACUGAUUACGCAGAGAGAGGUACCUAGUUUCUAUGGAUAAAAGAGUUCAUAACCAUUAAAAGGGUAACCCAAUUGAGGUGUUUACCCUUUGAACCAUGGUCUCAAAUCAGGUAGGAUUACCCGCUGAACUUAA